ensembl:lncRNA
GCAGUUUAAAAAAUAUGAAUACGAAUAAGAAAUAAAAGUAACAAGUAGUUAAAGAGAAGCAGUAAAAUAACAAUAGCGAGGCUAUAUGCAGGGAGGUACUGGUACAGAGUCAAUGUGGAGGCUAUAUGCAGGGAGGUACUGGUACAGAGUCAAUGUGGAGGCUAUAUGCAGGGAGGUACUGGUACAGAGUCAAUGUGGAGGCUAUAUGCAGGGAGGUACCGGUACAGAUCAAUGUGGAGGCUAUAUGCAGGGAGGUACUGGUACAGAGUCAAUGUGGAGGCUAUAUACAGGGAGGUACUGGUACAGAGUCAAUGUGGAGGCUAUAUACAGGGAGGUACUGGUACAGAGUCAAUGUGGAGGCUAUAUACAGGGGUACUGGUACAGAGUCAAUGUGGAGGCU